AUUGAACGCUGGCGGCAGGCCUAACACAUGCCAGUCGAGCGGAGCGGCGUACGGGUGAGUAAUGCCUAGGAAUCUGCCUGGUAGUGGUGGCUAAAGUCCGGAAACGGGCGCUACUAACGAAUACUAUCAGAUGAGCCUAGGUCGGAUUAGCUAGUUGGUGGGGUCAAGGCCUACCAAGGCGACGAUCCGUAACUGGUCUGAGAGGAUGAUCAGUCACACUGGAACUGAGACACGGUCCAGACUCCUACGGGAGGCAGCAUUGGGGAAUAUUGGACAAUGGGCGAAAGCCGGAUCCAGCCAUGCCGCGGGUGUGAAGAAGGUCGUCGGAUUGUAAAGCACUUUAAGUUGGGAGGCGUUACCAACAGAAUAAGCACCGGCUAACUUCGUGCCAGCAGCCGCGGUAAUAC
rnacentral:rRNA from 1 species